GUCUAAGCUUCCAUUCGCCAUGUAUUCAUAGGCUAGAAUGCCGUAUUCCGGGCAGGCUCCUAGAAGCAGCACCAUGUUGGGAUGUCGAAUGCAGCUAAGUAUGUCGAUCUGCAUCAAAUCAUGAAAGAAGAGGUUGCGAGGCUUGAACGAUGGUCUGGCUGCUGGAUGUAAAGGAUCAAAAUAAUAAUUUUAGUACUCAACCAAACUUGGUUUUCAAGAAAGCUUAAUAACCAAGAGAAACAAACCUUUCAAGUACAUAUUUUGUUUAGGUGUUUCAGCUGCUUUAGCACUUUGCUGAUUUAAUGCCUCUAUUUGGGCAAGUAGCGGAGAACUGUGAGGUGCUGGACGAGAAGCAUGUCGCUCUGAAUUGAUUUUCCCUUUGGAGAUGACAUAUAUGGUGCAGAAAUCAGGUUGGUCAUGGAAAAAGCUUUCGAAGGAAGAGCUCCGAAACCUACAUCCUUACGAGUACAAUAGCAAUGGAAGGUAACGAACAGAUCCUUGGCCAUCUUUUCGAGUUGCUGUUUGCGCGGGGAUUGAGACGGAUUGUUUAUAUUGCAUACAACAGCAUUGUUUCCAGCCACUGCACCCAUAAAAAAAAAAAAAAAAAAAAAAAAAGCUGUAUCAUUGCCUGCCAUUGAAAAGUAAUUUUUUAGCUAGCUAUAGAGAGAGAGAGAGAGAGAGAGAUUACAGGGGCAAACUGAUGAUGUCUUCUGAACAUGUAGUAGAAUGACAGUUUGGCCCCUGGUGAGAACAUGUUCAGCAGCCCAUCUGAGUGCAUUUUGGCUCCCUUUCUGAUUGUCUAUGGCAACUGCCACCAAUCCAUUUCCUCCUGCUUC